GGAACAAGGUUUCCGUAGGUGAACCUGCGGAAGGAUCAUUACUGAGUGAGGGUCCCUCGGGGCCCAACCUCCCACCCGUGUAUACCGUACCUUGUUGCUUCGGCGAGCCCGCCCCCUUUUUCUUUUAGGGGGCACAGCGCUCGCCGGAGACACCAACGUGAACACUGUCUGAAGUUUUGUCGUCUGAGUCGAUUGUAUCGCAAUCAGUUAAAACUCUCAACAAUGGAUCUCUUGGUUCCGGCAUCGAUGAAGAACGCAGCGAAAUGCGAUAAUUAAUGUGAAUUGCAGAAUUCAGUGAAUCAUCGAGUCUUUGAACGCACAUUUCACCCCCUGGUAUUCCGGGGGGUAUGCCUGUCCGAGCGUCAUUGCUGCCCUCAAGCACGGCUUGUGUGUUGGGUCGUCGUCCCCCCCCAGGGGGACGGGCCCGAAAGGCAGCGGCGGCACCGCGUCCGGUCCUCGAGUGUAUGGGGCUUUGUCACCCGC
rnacentral:misc_RNA from 1 species